ACCAACAGGGAUUACCUCAGUAACGGCGAGUGAAGCGGUAACAGCUCAAAUUUGAAAGCUAGCUCUUUUAGAGUUCGCAUUGUAAUUUGUAGAAGAUGCUUCGGGUGUGGCCCCGGUCUAAGUUCCUUGGAACAGGACGUCAUAGAGGGUGAGAAUCCCGUAUGUGACUGGGUGCUUUCGCUCAUGUGAAGCUCUUUCGACGAGUCGAGUUGUUUGGGAAUGCAGCUCAAAAUGGGUGGUAAAUUUCAUCUAAAGCUAAAUAUUGGCCAGAGACCGAUAGCGCACAAGUAGAGUGAUCGAAAGAUGAAAAGCACUUUGGAAAGAGAGUUAAACAGUACGUGAAAUUGUUGAAAGGGAAGCGCUUGCAACCAGACUUGCGCGCUGAUGAUCAUCCGGGCUUCUGCCCGGUGCACUCGUCUGCGCUCAGGCCAGCAUCGGUUUCGGUGGUGGGAUAAAGGCCUUGGGAAUGUAGCUUCUUUCGGGGAGUGUUAUAGCCCUCGGUGCAAUGCCGCCUACCGGGACCGAGGACCGCGCUUCGGCUAGGAUGCUGGCGUAAUGGUUGUAAGCGACCCGUCUUGAAACACGGACCAAGGAGUCUAACAUCUAUGCGAGUGUUUGGGUGUCAAACCCAUACGCGUAAUGAAAGUGAACGGAGGUGAGAACCCUUAAGGGUGCAUCAUCGACCGAUCCUGAUGUCUUCGGAUGGAUUUGAGUAAGAGCAUAGCUGUUGGGACCCGAAAGAUGGUGAACUAUGCGUGAAUAGGGUGAAGCCAGAGGAAACUCUGGUGGAGGCUCGCAGCGGUUCUGACGUGCAAAUCGAUCGUCAAAUUUGCGUAUAGGGCGAAAGACUAAUCGAACCAUCU
rnacentral:rRNA from 1 species